AAGAAAGUUCAAUACUAUCAUGACUAUGUACCAGUAAACAUUGAACAGUAUACCAGUUAUCGUGGUAUUUAAAACGGAACGGAUUUUUUUAUUCCAACCGAUUUGUUUUUAUAAAACAGGAUGUGUCACAUGACCUGUGGUCUUGUCUGUUUAACAUUGGUGAUUGCAAUAGCUGUAGUUUUGAAUUACAAAAAAGAAGAAUUAUCGUGUUUCUUUAGUUGUUCGUAUGAUUGCUACCUUGAUCAAUCUGGACUUAAAAGUGGACCACAUGUAUGUAAACUGUCUUAUGCAGCUGCAUUCGGGCGACGUUUCUAUGAAGGAAAGGAUAUUAUAUCAUUUAAAGAGUCUUAUGUAACAACGAAAGAUGUUUUAAGUAUGUGCGGACUAUGGUGCUUUAAAAUGCCGAAGGUUUAGGAUUAAGAAAUGUAUUAAACAGUAUACACUGGCAAAAUAUGAUUUAUAAAACUUAAAUAUGUUGUGCAAAAUGUUGAGUACAAGUUGUAGUUGUGUGAGAAAUACUGAUAUGAUAUAUAACAUUAUUUAGUAAUUUGUUCUUGUUUAUUUUUCUGUUAUUUGUUUAUUAUUUACUCCUCCUUUCUUUGCUGAGUUGAGAAAUUAAAUAUUACUAUGAAUACCAUAAAUGAUGAACUUCACAUUCUUAAAUGGCCAUUCGAUACUUUCAAUUUGCUUUUGUAUUAACCAGAAAGCCGGGUAUGAACAAAGCGUGGGUCAACUAAUGUGAGAACACUAUUACUCAUAUUUAUCAU